rnacentral:tRNA from 3 species
GCCCCUAUAGCUCAGUUGGUAGAGCAGGAGACUUUUAAUCUUCGGGUCCUAGGUUCGAUCCCUAGUGGGGGCACCC